AUACCGGGCCUUUUUGGGCUUGGUAAUUGGAAUAAGGGAGAGUUAAACGGACCAUCGAGUAUCCAUUGGAGGGCCAGUCUGGUGCCAGCAGCUGCGGUAAUACCAGCUCCAAUAGCGUAUAUUAAAGUUGUUGCAGUUAAAAAGCUCGUAGUUGGACUUGUGUGCGCUGUCCGCGGGUGGCCUGCGCCCAAAAGGGCGUUUCGGUUCGGCCCCGGUGGCGCCUUGAAAUCUGCAGCUGGGGGGACGUUGGCCUUAACUGGUCGGCGACCGCACGCCGGCUGCUCGGUUACUGUGAGAAAAUUAGAGUGUUCAAGGCAGGCAUUGGGUGCAAUUGAAUACAUUAGCAUGGAAUAAUAAAAUAUGGCUCCUGCCGUAUUUUGUUGGUUUUGACCGGUGGGAGUAAUGAUUGAUAGGGACGGUUGGGGGUGCUAGUAUUGAGCGGCCAGAGGUGAAAUUCAUGGAUUCGCUCAAGACUAACUUAUGCGAAAGCAUUCACCAAGGACGUCCUCUUUAACCAAGAACGAAAGUUGGGGGAUCGAAGACGAUCAGAUACCGUCGUAGUCUCAACCAUAAACUAUGACGACUUGGGAUCGGCGGUAGUUUUUUUCAUUAAGACACUGUCGGGACCACGGGAGAAAUCAAAGUGUCUGGACUCUGGGGGAAGUAUGGUCGCAAAGCUGAAACUUGAAGGAAUUGACGGAAGGGCACCACCAGGAGUGGAGCCUGCGGCUUAAUUUGACCCAACACGGGGAAACUUACCAGGUCCAGAGAUGUAGAGGAUUGACAGAUUGAAGCUCUUUCUUGAUCACUUCGGUGGUGGUGCAUGGCCGUUCUUAGUUGGUGGAGUGAUUUGUCUGGUUAAAUCCGUUAGCGAACGAGACCUCAGCCUGCUAGUGUAGUCGGCUGGAUUGCCUUUGGCGAUCCGUGAUUUCGACUUCUUAGAGGGACAAUCGACGCGCAGUCGAUGGAAGUUUGAGGCAAUAACAGGUCUGUGAUGCCCUUAGAUGUUCUGGGCCGCACGCGCGCUACACUGCUGGGCUCAGCGGGUUUUACUUGGCCGAGAGGCCCGGUUAAUCUUGUGAAAUCCCAGCGUGCUUGGGCUCGCCUCCUGCAACUGGAGGCGCCAGCGAGGAAUUCCUAGUAGACGCAGGUCAUCAACCUGCAUCGAUUACGUCCCUGCCCUUUGUACACACCGCCCGUCGUUCCAUAAGAGUGAGGCAUCCGGUGAAUUCUCGGGAGAGCCUGGGCGUGGCCAACAAUGGUCUGCUCGGGUUUGAACUUGCAUAAACUUGG
rnacentral:rRNA from 1 species